rnacentral:rRNA from 1 species
GGACAGCGGCGUAAGGGAGAGUAACGCGUGGACUACCUACCCCCGAGUCCGGGAUAGCUGCGGGAAACUGCAGGUAAUACCGGAUAACAUCUCCGGAUCAAAGGUGUGAUUCCGCUUGGGGACGGGUCCGCGUCCUAUUAGCUUGUUGGUGGGGUAACGGCCUACCAAGGCUACGAUGGGUACCGGGUGUGAGAGCAUGGCCCGGCUCACUGGGACUGAGACACUGCCCAGACACCUACGGGUGGCUGCAGUCGAGAAUCUUCGGCAAUGGGCGAAAGCCUGACCGAGCGACGCCGCGUGCGGGAUGAAGGCCUUCGGGUUGUAAACCGCUGUCAGAGGGGAUGAAAUGCCGGAGGGCUAUCCCUCCGGUUUGACAAAUCCUCAGAGGAAGGACGGGCUAAGUUCGUGCCAGCAGCCGCGGUAAGACGAACCGUCCAAACGUUAUUCGGAAUCACUGGGCUUAAAGGGUGCGUAGGCGGUCCGGCAAGCUGGGUGUGAAAGCCCUCGGCUCAACCGAGGAAUUGCGCUCAGAACUGCCGGACUCGAGGGAGACAGAGGUGAGCGGAACUUGCGGUGGAGCGGUGAAAUGCGUUGAUAUCGCAAGGAACACCAGUAGCGAAGGCGGCUCACUGGGUCUCUUCUGACGCUCAGGCACGAAAGCUAGGGGAGCGAACGGGAUUAGAUACCCCGGUAGUCCUAGCUGUAAACGAUGAGCA